CAGUCGCCGCGGUAAUACGUAGGUGGCAAGCGUUGUCCGGAAUUAUUGGGCGUAAAGGGCUCGCAGGCGGUUUCUUAAGUCUGAUGUGAAAGCCCCCGGCUCAACCGGGGAGGGUCAUUGGAAACUGGGAAACUUGAGUGCAGAAGAGGAGAGCGGAAUUCCACGUGUAGCGGUGAAAUGCGUAGAGAUGUGGAGGAACACCAGUGGCGAAGGCGACUCUCUGGUCUGUAACUGACGCUGAGGAGCGAAAGCGUGGGGAGCGAACAGGAUUAGAGACCCCAGUAGUCCCUGUCUCUUAUAC
rnacentral:rRNA from 1 species